CCUGGCCUCCAGCAAUCCUCCUGCCCCAGCAUCCCAAAAUGCUGAGAUUAUAGGCACGAGCCACCAAGCCUGACUAACUGGGAAUUUAUUAAAGAGGCAAGCCCUGGUCACUCCACUAGAGAUUUUGAUUCAGGAGGUCUGGAGUGGGGUCCGGGAUUAUGUAUUUUUGACACAGUCUGCAGGAGAUGAUACAUUUGACAUAAUGGGCCCUAACUGGAGAAACUCAGGCAUGGUGUGAGAUACAAAGGGUUAGUAAAUUGCUCUGGUGGGAAGGAAGGAAGCAGUGAACAUUAAGGACCAAAAUCCUCCUACCUCUCCACCACCCCAGAAUUGAAGAUGCAGAGUACUGAGCCCUCCACCUGCAAAUGCAUACAGCCAUGAACAGAUGGGUGUAAACUGAGGCAGUGGAGGGAGAGGGGUACUCCCAAGCCCUGAAAAUCUCAGAGUAAGAGGCCACCGACGACAGCGCUCACCGGUGCUGAGCUCCCUUCUACAGAAACCUGCAAAGACUCAGAUCGAGGAGGAAAUACACCAGGAAAAUGUCACAGGAUCAUCUCGAGCAGUCCCUUCCAGCGCCAAGCCAUUCAUUCAAGAAUGACUCAGGGCCGGGCGUGGUGGCUCACACCUGUAAUCCCAGCACUUUGGGAGGCCGAGGCAGGCGGAUCACGAGGUCAAGAGACUGAGAUCAUCCUGGCUAAUAUGAAUCUGUCAUCUCUAAAGGAAAAGCAGAAACAAACCACAGAACCAGGGGAGCUGGCUGAUAAUGAGUCACAUUGCUGCUGGCAGUUCUCCACUCAGUCCUCUGGCCUCUGCAUCUGGGACUUCUUGCUUGUCCUUCAAGAUCCACUGCAAAAAUGUCUUGUCUCCACAAAGGCUUCCUUGACUGCAUCCCCAGCCACCCCACACCCUGCAAGCUUCCAUUGCAUCCAGCACAAGAUCCACUACUGCCAUGUAUUGCACUAAGUGGAAACUGGUCAGGUUGUGGGGUCCCAAUCAGCCUGUGAGCUUCAGAAGGCAGGCAUUGUGUCUCAUGGACCUAGCCCAAAACAGAAGUGUCUAUGGAAAUAGUGUGAUGACCUGAGUAAAAUAUGGGUGGAAUGUGACAUAGGCAUUUAAGAAAUCUAUAUAUUGACAUACAAAAAACAGUUUAUUAAAAGGUUGUGUAGGUAGAA
rnacentral:lncRNA from 1 species